CCUACGGGAGGCAGCAGUGAGGAAUAUUGGUCAAUGGACGCAAGUCUGAACCAGCCAUGCCGCGUGCAGGAAGACGGCCCUAUGAGUUGUAAACUGCUUUUGUACGAGGGUAAACGCAGAUACGCGUAUCUGUCUGAAAGUAUCGUACGAAUAAGGAUCGGCUAACUCCGUGCCAGCAGCCGCGGUAAUACGGAGGAUUCAAGCGUUAUCCGGAUUUAUUGGGUUUAAAGGGUGCGUAGGCGGUCUGAUAAGUUAGAGGUGAAAUUCUGCGGCUCAACCUCGGAAUUGCCUCUGAUACUGGUCGGCUUGAGUGUAGUUGAGGUAGGCGGAAUGUAUGGUGUAGCGGUGAAAUGCUUAGAGAUCAUAAAGAACGCCGAUUGCGAAGGCAGCUUACCAAGCUACUUCUGACGUUGAGGCACGAAAGCGUGGGGAGCAAACAGGAUUAGAUACCCUGGUAGUC
rnacentral:rRNA from 1 species